rnacentral:rRNA from 1 species
UACGUAGGGCGCAAGCGUUGUCCGGAAUUAUUGGGCGUAAAGAGCUCGUAGGUGGCUUGUCGCGUCGGGUGUGAAAGCUUGGGGCUUAACUCCAGGUCUGCAUUCGAUACGGGCUGGCUAGAGGUAGGUAGGGGAGAACGGAAUUCCUGGUGUAGCGGUGAAAUGCGCAGAUAUCAGGAGGAACACCGGUGGCGAAGGCGGCAUCCUGGACCAAUAUUGACGCUGAGGAGCGAAAGCUAGGGGAGCAAACGGG